rnacentral:rRNA from 1 species
AUUGAACGCUGGCGGCGUGCUUAACACAUGCAAGUCGAUCGGUAACGCGGGGGCAACCCUGGCGACGAGAGGCGGACGGGUGAGGAACGCUUGGGAAUCUGCCUAUCAGCGGGGGACAACACGGGGAAACUCGUGCUAAUACCGCAUACGCUCUACGGAGGAAAGCCGGGGACCGCAAGGCCUGGCACUGAUAGAUGAGCCCAAGUCGGAUUAGCUAGUUGGCGGGGUAACGGCCCACCAAGGCGACGAUCCGUAGCUGUCUGAGAGGACGAUCAGCCACACUGGGACUGAGACACGGCCCAGACUCCUACGGGAGGCAGCAGUAGGGAAUAUUGGACAAUGGGGGAAACCCUGAUCCAGCGACGCCGCGUGGGUGAAGAAGGCCUGCGGGUUGUAAAGCCCUUUCGGUAGGGACGAAAGCUCUCGACCUAACACGUCGGGAGGUUGACUUAACCUACAAAAGAAGCACCGGCUAACUCUGUGCCAGCAGCCGCCGCAGUA